rnacentral:rRNA from 1 species
GACGAACGCUGGCGGCGUGCUUAACACAUGCAAGUCGAACGAUGAAGAAGAGCUUGCUCUUCGGAUUAGUGGCGAACGGGUGAGUAAGACGUGACUAACCUGCCCCUUCCUCUGGGAUAACGCUCCGAAAGGAGUGCUAAUACCGGAUACUCACAUCGAGGCACAUGCCUUGAUGUGGAAAGUUUUUCGGAAAGGGAUGGAGUCGCGGCCUAUCAGCUUGUUGGUGAGGUAACGGCUCACCAAGGCGACGACGGGUAGCCGGCCUGAGAGGGGGACCGGCCACACUGGGACUGAGACACGGCCCAGACUCCUACGGGAGGCAGCAGUGGGGAAUAUUGCACAAUGGGCGAAAGCCUGAUGCAGCGACGCCGCGUGAGGGAUGAAGGUCUUCGGAUUGUAAGCCUCUUUCAGUAGGGACGAAGCGAAAGUGACGGUACCUAAAGAAGAAGCACCGGCUAACUACGUGCCAGCCGCCGCCGUAA